UGGUGAUGUCUCCUUACCGUUAUCAAUGGAGGCACUCGGCUAUAUUGUGGGUUGAAAUAACCUUAGACGCGAGUCGUCAAUAGUAUGGUGUGAGGACGGGUUAGAUGCCCA
rfam:Bacillus sp. FJAT-21945 scaffold3, whole genome shotgun sequence.